GAUGAACGCUAGCGGCAGGCUUAACACAUGCAAGUCGAGGGGUAUUGGUUUUCGGACCAAGAGACCGGCGCACGGGUGCGUAACGCGUAUGCAAUCUACCUUUCACAGAGGGAUAGCCCCAGAGAAAUUUGGAUUAAUACCUCAUAGUAUAGCAGUUUCGCAUGAAACCACUAUUAAAGUUCCAACGGUGAAAGAUGAGCAUGCGUCCCAUUAGCUAGAUGGUAAGGUAACGGCUUACCAAGACAAUGAUGGGUAGGGGUCCUGAGAGGGAGAUCCCCCACACUGGUACUGAGACACGGACCAGACUCCUACGGGAGGCAGCAGUGAGGAAUAUUGGUCAAUGGGCGCAAGCCUGAACCAGCCAUGCCGCCGUGCAGGAAGACGGUCCGUAUGGAUUGUAAACUGCUUUAUACAGGAGAAACCCUCCCACGUGUGGGAGCUUGACGGUACUG
rnacentral:rRNA from 1 species